rnacentral:rRNA from 1 species
UACAGAGGGUGCGAGCGUUAAUCGGAAUUACUGGGCGUAAAGCGUGCGCAGGCGGUUUUGUAAGCCAGAUGUGAAAUCCCCGGGCUCAACCUGGGAAUGGCAUUUGGGACUGCAAGGCUGGAGUACGGCAGAGGAGACUGGAAUUCCUGGUGUAGCAGUGAAAUGCGUAGAUAUCAGGAGGAAUACCGAUGGCGAAGGCAGGUCUCUGGGCUGAUACUGACGCUCAUGCACGAAAGCGUGGGGAGCAAACAGG